rnacentral:rRNA from 1 species
GAACGUCCUACGCAAGUAGGGAGUGGCGGACGGGUGAGCAACACGUGGGUUAUCUGCCCUGAGGUGAGGAAUACCGGCGAGAAAUCGCCGACAAUACCGCAUAUGCUCUUUCGCGAGGAAGAGCAAAGCCGGCAACGGCGCCUGAGGAUGAGCCUGCGCUCGAUUAGUUGGUUGGUGGGGUAAUGGCCUACCAAGACUGCGAUCGAUAGCUGGUCUGAGAGGACGAUCGGCCACACUGGGAUUGAGAACGGCCCAGACUCCUACGGGGGGCAGCAGUGAGGAAUUUUCGUCAAUGGGGGCAACCCUGAACGAGCAACGCCGCGUGCAGGAAGAAGGUUUUCGGAUCGUAAACUGCUUUUAUACUGGGACGAGAACGGACGGUACCAGAGGAAUCAGCCUCGGCUAACUACGUGCCAGCAGCCGCGGUAAU